AAAAAGCAGAGACGGAAGUUUCUAGAAUCCAUUAAUGCUGCUGUUGUUUUUGCCCAAUCAACAAAAUGACUUUUCAUCGCCUUGUCACUUCAGCUUUCCUUUCUUCUUCAAGACGCAUACACACUCUCGAGGGAACAUUAAUUUCAACCUUUCCUUACCAGCCCUCAUUCAGAUUUACCCCAUUUCAUCUUCUACCUUCCUGAUCAAUCCGACUCUCCCUCUCUAUCCCUUUCCUCUUGAUCUUCUGCAUAUUCAGGGACUCCCCCAACCAGGUACACUAUUACUUUAUCCUUCAUCGUUUCUUUUGCUAUCGUAUGCGCAAGACUGUUAACUGCUCCUGGGACAUAUUCAAAUCUUCAUUCCUUGAGUUUUGAUAGUAGCUUAUGAAUAUCGCUAAUGUAGGCACAUACCUGUGAUUUAUCUGGGAUACUUGACUUGCACUUUUUUAUUAUCGAUAAUGAGUCUCCUUCGAUAAUAAUUUUUUCCCAUUUCCUUUCUAUGUCGAUUUUGGUCGCUUUCCGGCAUGCGAGCGCCUCAGCCGCAAAGGCUGAUGUAAAAUUUGUGUAUUCUUAUUUUUCCUUUUCUUAUUGCUUUGCGAUUAUUCUGGUACCAUUAUCGUCUUCUAUUAUAACAAUUAACAUUGUUAAUAUUUUGGUUAAAAUAUUGACUUAAAUUUUUCUUCAAAACAUCACUUCCUGCAAGAGGUGAUGCUAGGGGCACCUAAAGGCUUUCGCACUAAAAAUGGUAAAUUUAUAGUUUAGCCUUUCUAAAGAUGAUAAAAUUAUAUUUCAUCCUCUCUUUAAAAAUUAUAAUUCAAUUCUAAUUUUUUCAAAAAUAUUUUGACUUUGCCCCCCAUUCGGACACACAAAACCCAUGUAAGCCUGAUGAGUUGAAAAGC
rnacentral:lncRNA from 1 species